rnacentral:sRNA from 1 species
UCAUUGGUGGAAGACUUAUUAAGCCGCGU